rnacentral:misc_RNA from 1 species
UUGAGGGGGCGGGAUGUAAACAAUGAUGGCUGAGGGAGGUGUGGACGGGCAGUCCUGUCAUCAUGAGUAUAGUCAACUCUUGUCCUUGUUAGACUCACAACACUCCUCCAGCAGCCACCUUGCAUGAUGGUGGACCACCUCCAGAACCUCAAGGUCCUUCCUCCCUAUAAUGUCGAGGAAAUAAAGCGUGAAGAGUUCCACAGAUGUGAAGGUCACUGUUACCUUGACCAUGCAGCUGCAACAUUGUACAGCAGCAGCCAAAUGAAAGAUGUUGCAGCCGAGCUUCAGUCAUCUCUCUUUGGGAACCCUCACUCUCGCCACUUUCCUAGUGAUACUUCCACUCAAAUGAUUGAGUCCAUUCGUCAGAGGGUCUUGGAACAUUUCAAUACUGAAGCAGAGGAGUAUGAUUUGAUCUUUACCUCUGGUGCUACACAAGCACUAAAGAUUGUCGGAGAAAGUUUUCACUGGAAUGAAAGUUCUGAACUAUUGCACAAUGGCAUCAAUAGUGUUGUGUCUCAAGAUAACACACAAGAACAAAUUAAUCAGAAAGCCCAAAAUACAGAAAGUUCCAGAAAAAAUAAAGUGAGAGAACCAAAUCAAGGAGCAUUUGUAUAUGCUAGAGAGAACCACACGUCAGUGCUAGGUGUGAGAGACUUGGCACAUCAGGCAGGUGUUCCUGUGUACUGUCUGCGUACCAAAGACCUUCAGGAUAUACUAAAAAAUGAUUCUGCUAUCCCUUUAUCGGAUACAGAAUUUCACUUGCCUGUUUAUAAUGGCACAGAUGCUGUGGAACAGUCACCCAGUGGAGAAUCUCGUCCAAGAGAUGUUGCCGGAACAAAUUGGGAGAGGUGUACGGAAAGAAAAAACUGCCUCUUUGCCUACAGUGCUCAAUGUAACUUUUCUGGAACAAAGGCACCUUUGGAGUGGAUUGAGAAGGUUCAGAAUGGAGCUUUGAACAAAAUUUUAAACAGCUGUCCAAUAAAUAAUAAAGUUUCAUCAAAAGACAAUACAAGUGACCCUAACUGGUUCGUAUUACUGGAUGCUGCUGGAUUAGUUGCCACUUGUCCUCUUGAUCUCUCCAAAUGGAAACCAGAUUUCAUUCCAAUAUCUUUCUACAAACUUUUUGGAUAUCCAACUGGAUUGGGGUGCUUGAUGGUAAGGAAAAGAGCAUGGAAUGUCUUGAAGAAAGAAUACUUUGGGGGAGGCACUGUGCUGAUGGUUGACUCCAGGAAAAUGAUGCUUGUCCCACGACCCAAACUUCAUGACAGAUUUGAAGAUGGAACACUUCCCUUUUUAAGUAUUCUAGCUCUCAGACAUGGUUUUGGCACGAUCAUCAAACUCACAGGGGGAAUGGAGAAGGUGAAGCAUCAUGUGUUCCACCUGGCAAGAUACACACACCACUCUCUUAAGAGCUACAGACAUGCUAAUGGGUCCCCAGUCGCUCAGUUAUACUGUCAAGAGAAGCCAUGGCAUGUCAACACACACGGCUCCAUUGUCAAUUUUAAUUUGUUAAAUUCAGAUGGAUCUCAUGUUGGAUAUGCCCAGGUUGAGAGAGUUUCAUCUUUGUACAAUAUCUAUUUACGUACUGGGUGCUUGUGUAAUCCAGGAGCAUGUCAAACUUACCUUGAUAUCUCUCAAGAGAAUCUACUGCAUCAAUUUCAGGCAGGACAUGUAUGUGGAGAUGCUCAAGAUUUGGUGGAUGGGCUGCCAACAGGCUCUGUGCGUGUCAGCUUUGGUUACAUGAGUUCAUACAGUGAUGCUGAUCUACUUCUGAAAAUGGUGCAGGAAUGCUUCGUUGAUGGCCCUCUCAUUGUAGAUUUAUCAUGGAUGGAAAAAAGUGCAUUGUUACCUUCUAUGUUUUAUGAAGACAGUGCCAUUCCCAAAGGAAAUUUGGUCAAUGGAUGGAAAGUUGAUAAAAUAAGUAAAAGUUUAACAGUGAAGGAAAAAUGCGUUAUUACAGAAGCUUUCUAUGGUAACGAGGAAAGACAAAUAUCAGAGAAAGGUUUCAACCAUUCACAUUCAAAACAUAACUUGAUGCAAGAAUAUGAACUGCUUAAUACCAAGAAAAUUCAGAAUUCAUAUAUUGGAAGGGAGUCAAGUAACUGUAGGCCUGCCAGACUCUCCCUAACUAAUAUUGUCAUUUUCCCUGUUAAAUCAUGUGGGGGUCUCUCAAUGCAAAAAUGGAACAUAGACCUAAAAGGCUUGAAGUAUGACCGUCGAUGGAUGGUGGUAACAAGUUCUGGUAUGACGCUAACGCAGAAGAGGCUUCCACGUAUGACUCUCAUCACACCGCACCUUGACUUGGAGGCUGGGACACUUACUCUUUCAUACAAAGGUGAAAAAGAUGUUACUGUGCCUCUUGAGCCUUGUGUAUCUGCAGCAAGAGACAUAUCUGUGUGUGGAGGCCGUGUGUGUAGAGACCGUGUAAAAGGGUUAGACUGUGGACUCCAGGUUGGAAUUUGGCUUUCCAAUGUUCUGGGACAGCCAGACCUGAGGCUUAUGCAACAGACAAGUGAGCGAUUGAGCAAGUUAAAAUCUAUUAUCCAUGGAAGAGCUUGUAAGGAGAUUCAGAGGAAAUUUGGUUAUUGAUGGAGGAGAUCCAUAUGAAGAAGAUUCCUGGACAUCCAUUGUUAUUGAUAAUCUUCAAUUCCAGGACUUUGCAAACUGUAGUGUUGACGUGGUCACCAUCACUGGUCAUGUACACAAAAGUCGGUGAUCCUACCUUGCUUUCUUCCCGAACUGUCAUUGAGAAACUUCCUAGUGACCAAGGAACCUCUGUAAGCAUACAAGAUUUAAGGAAGCUGCAAAAGGCCUAUUGGCUAAUAUUUUUGGUGGCUCCAAUUUACUGUAUGUACGUACUGUACUACCAAACUCACUCGUGUAUAUUUUUAACUUAACCUUGAAAACUCAAAUGAUCCUGGCAUGUUACCUGGUAAUCUGUUCCCCAAAUCAACAACCCUAUUUCAAAACCAGUAUUUGCCCAAUAAAUAUCUAAUUUUAUUAUAUGUAAAUUGGAUAAGUUUAGAUUUAUGGUCUUGUGCUAGUAUAUUUGAUACAUUAUUACAUUAAUAUUCCCUAUCCUUUGCUGAAUGCAUUCAAAUUAAGUUUUUGUCCAUUUUGUGGUAUGGCAACUAAAAUUAAACUGCAUAAUCUGAAUGGGUCAAACAUAAAAUAUUUGAUUAACAACAGAGGUCCCAGGGGCACUGUACUAACAAUGAAUUUACACUUUAAUUCCAUUUAUAUUGUUUCCUCCAAAAUAACUGGCUCAGUCUUUGGUGGAACGAGUGGAAAAUUAUUUUUCCUCCAGCAUGGCUGUUGCUGUCUUGUUUCCGCUCCAGCUCUGCUGGGAAAUGAUCCUCCAAUAAAUUUUGUCAAGAUGGCACCCAUGGUAUGUGGAAGAGCAAUAUGUGAGAAGUUUUGCUUUCAAGAGGCUUUUGAGUGUCGAGGAAUGUACUUUCAAUUAGACGUGUGUGGCUGAAUUGAGAAAUUCUUCUUUAGAAAUGGCCUGGUAGGGUCAUUUACAAUAGGCAUUUCCUGCAUUAGAGAUGAGGUGACACUUUCAGGCUCGAGUGUGCCUCCUCAUGAGCGAGAGAUAUUGCCUAAGGAAGUGACCAGCUCAAAAUGGAUGUCACACAGUACAUACUGCCUUAAUUUUUCUGAUAAAUUUGUAGA